rnacentral:rRNA from 1 species
CCCUUAGAUGUCCUGGGCUGCACGCGCGCUACACUGAUGUGUCCAGUAAGCACCUAACCUCUUCCGAAAGGAACGGGUAACCUUUGCAAAGCACAUCGUGAUGGGGAUAGAGUAUUGCAAUUAUUAGUCUUGAACGAGGAAUUCCUAGUAAGCACAAGUCAUCAGCUUGUGUUGAUUACGUCCCUGCCCUUUGUACACACCGCCCGUCGCUCCUACCGAUUGAAUGUUCCGGUGAGCUCUUCGGACUGCGCGGUCUGCAGUUUCUGCGUUCCGUGCGGAAAGUUGCGCAAACCUUAACAUUUAGAGGAAGGAGAAGUCGUAACA